AACGAACGCUGGCGGCGCGUAUUAAGCAUGCAAGUCGAACGGGAACCCGGGGCAACCCUGGGGGAGAGUGGCGAACGGGUGAGUAACACGUAGGUGAUCUGUCCCCGGGUGGGGUAUAGCCCAUGGAAACAUGGGUAAUACCGCAUGAGGUCCUGGAGCUUGAAGGCUUCUGGAUGAAAGGCGCAAUUGUGUUGCCUGGGGAUGAGCCUGCGGCUCAUUAGCUAGUUGGUGAGGUAAAGGCCCACCAAGGCGACGAUGGGUAGCCGGCCUGGGAGGGUGUACGGCCACAGUGGGACUGAGACACGGCCCAGACUCCUACGGGAGGCAGCAGCUAAGAAUCUUCCGCAAUGGGGGAAACCCUGACGGAGCGACGCGGCGUGGACGAAGAAGGCCGCAAGGUUGUAAAGCCCUUUUGCAGACGAAGAAUAGGCUUAGGAGUGGAACGCCUGAGCGAUGACGUUAGUCUGCGGAUAAGCCCCGGCCAAUUACGUGCCAGCCGCCGCCGUAAUAC
rnacentral:rRNA from 1 species